rnacentral:tRNA from 1 species
UGCAUCGGCCGGGAAUCGAACCCGGGGCGCUCGCGUGGCAGGCGAGCAUUCUACCACUUAACCAAAAGC